UGCCCGGUAGUGUAGCUGGCAACACGACAGACUCUGGAUCUGUUAUCUCUGGUUCGACUCCAGACCGGGCAGCCA
rnacentral:tRNA from 1 species